UUGUACCCUGUGGGGAAGGAGAAGAGGAGAGGCGGUUAGGGGGACACUUCCUUUAGGAUUUGUCCAACAUGGUCCCAGACCACAAUAUACUCACAAGACCUUGUUUAUAGUGUGAGGACCUUAUUUGUACAGUGAGCAGUAAAGAUCCUACUAUUUACAAGCAAGGUUAUAUAGGAGGAAAGAGGGAGGGAAAGAGGAAGGGAAGGAGGGAGGGAGGAAAGGAAGGAGGGUUGAAGUUGGCCACCCAAGAAGGGAACAAGUGUCUGACAUAUGUUCAGCCAGCUGGGUAGCUGGGACAGGAACAGGACUGGAGCACAUUGAGUCUUCAGAACAUUGUUGCUAAUCGUGUGAUUUUUGUUUUCCAGUAUCAGAGAUGAAACCCAGGCCCUCGUGUGCAUUGAUUGGUACUUCCCUCCCGGCUGUAUUCACAGCCUUCUCUGGGAGGGUUGGAGCACUGAUGAUGCCAUGGAGUUGUUGCUCAUCGGAUAGGACUCACCUUGGGAGACUGCAGCCGCAGAGAUGCAAGGCAGGCACCAGGAAGAGGAGAGAGAGAGAGAGAAACAGUCUGAACACAGAAGCCAAAGCACUGGGGAUGUAAGGUGAGGGAGGCACUCUACCAAAGACCCUGUGAAGACAGGACUGCAGCCAAGGUGGGCUUAGUCUUCCCGGUGACCAGUCACGGUGGCCAGUAGCCAGUUCCACUAGGCGAUGUGUCACACUGCCCUGUCCCUGUCUGCCCAGUGCCCCCUUCGGCCAUGCCCACGCCCCUACUUGCUUCCUGUCUUUAUUUCUUCUUUAUUCCCUGGUCCCAGCCUAUGCUCUCAGGGCACAUUCUGGAUGAUUUAGAAGAGGAACAGGUACAGAGAAGGCAGGUGUGACUGACAAAGAUGCUACAGUGACUUGCCCUGGUCCCAGCACUGCUCUGUCUGGGCUAAGCAAUUAGUCCCAUCUACUGAUUGGACCUGCAUUUAUAAAGUCUACUGCUUUGGGAAAGACCUGAGGAUUGGGAGGUAUCUUGGGUCCAUUAGUAACAACUUCCCGGAGCCUUGUGCUGAGACAAAUGAUUACCAACACCGACUGUUGAUGCAGCAAUAGGAAGAACAGUUAAGAGAGCUACCAGGCAAGUGCUGACCAGCGGCCAAGCGGCUACAACUGCUGCUGUUCAUCAUAUAUGUCGAUAUGAUAACAACAUCAUAUGUUGUUAUCAUAGAUGGAGCACCUCUGUUCAGCCAACUCUCUGAUUCCUCUCAGAAGCUUUCGUCUCAUAGUGUGGUCGCUUGUGGCCAAGGUGUCACGUGAAACCCAACCUGUAUUUUUAUGUUGAGUGAUGCCAAAGGACCAACCCUCUACCCGACUGUUCCUGGGACAAAGUCAGUUGCAGCUGUUUCCUUCCUAGGGGCCAUCCCAAGACACCUCCUUAGACAUGGCUGCUCAGCGCAACCCCAGUCCUUCACAGGAGAGGGGUGCAGCCAUCUUUUGAAGGAUGAAGUGAGUGGCUUUUGUCCUGCCGUGAAGUGCUAUCUGGUUACAACUCAGAACAACAAGGCCAACCCAGCCUAGAUUGGAUCCUCUAGAACCCAGGGUAAUAUAACUUGUUUUUGUUGAUAAGUUGAUUUAUCCCAGGUGUUUGUUACAAUAACAGAAAGCUGAAUAACUCUCUUACUAGAAUCCCAACACCGCAGACCCUGCUGCCUGUUUAAGGAGCAGACAAGCCAGUGGUGUGAGGGCUGGCAGAGCCUCCCAGGCUUUCUAGAGUAGCUGCACCUCCUAGGAUCUAACUGAGAAUGGGAUCUGGGUCCUGCAGACGUCCCACAUGUCCCUGGGGAAGUGGCCUAGCGCUCCUGGGAAGUCCACAGUGGAAGUGAGACUCACUAGGGGUCAUCAGAUGUGGGGUGAGUUCACCUUGAGCUGAGGCUCUUCCAGGCAGACAGGAAUGUUCCCCUCACUGCCACCUGGCGCUCCUCCCCUGACUCUACCUAUGGGACAACCUAACAGUGCAACCCACUGACUUCCUCUCUGAAUUCUGGGAAGUCUUGCUGUCAAGCCUGGCGCCCUGGCCACCCACACUGAGUCCCACCCGGCUCUGACCCUUGAACCUUCUCUAGAGGGGUGAUUUGAUUAGUGAUUUGAUUCUGGUCCUAGCAUUGUGUGUGCGCCUGAGUUUCCUGCAUCUUUCAUAGAACCCCAACUAAGGCUAAGUAAGUUCUGGACCAUUCUAGACUAUUCUAGGUCAUUCUUUGGCCUCUGUCACUUGGCUUCUCCUCCUGCCUCUAGGGUCCUCACCUGGUACAGCUUGCCUCUACACUGGCGAUUCAACCUGUACACCCAGUGAGGACCAGCGUGUAGGGACAGGGUAUGAAAAGCAGGUGACUGAAGAGAUGUGGCUCCAGUUAUUGAGGCCUUCCACCCAGUGAGGUAGAAAGAGCAAUGGAGGUAUAGAGAAACAGCUGUUCGAGACAGGUGCUGUCUGAUUGAAGAGUCUGCCAGGUUAUUUUUGAACUGAUCAUUUGCCUUUGGUAAAUUUGAUGUUGUAACUUUAUAUACUUCCCCAAAACACUUUCGUGCCCAAACUGACUUUGCACUAACGAUGGCUGAAUCAUUAACACCUUCAAAGACAGUGAGAACUUGUAAGGCUCGGCACCAGCCAACCAAAGAGUGUGGUUUAACCCAGCGGGGAGUCGUUCAGCUCCGUGUGUAAAACACAGUUACACGGCGUCCUGCAGGUGAAGACUGCGUGGCCUUAUUUUUCCUUUGGAAACUGAUGUAGACACACAGCCACGGGGUGGAGGCCGGCCUCAUUCUGAAUACACAGGUUUACCCUGGCUCAGUGGGAGAACGGCUUCCUUGACAGAGGCGGGGAGUGCUGUCUUUGCUGGAGAGGGCCCUCGCUGGGAGACCCACUCUGUAGGGCUGGUAUGGUAGAGAAGGCUCUGGAAAGGUGGCCAUGGCACUAGGGCAGAGGAACAGGUGGGCCCUUGGAAGCCGUGUCUUUGGGGUGAGAGGUCCUGGCCCAAGUGUAGGCCUCCUGUCCCUCCUAGGCUCCUCCCACAGCUCUGGCACCCUGCCAGACCCCCACCCCCACCCCACUCUGCCCUCAGCACACCAGUUGUUACUCACUGGCAA